CAGAGCCAGAGAGGCGAAAAACAGAAACCUCUUUUCCUUUUCAGUUUCUUCCGUCGAUCUCUCAAUCAAACCUCUUUCUCUUUUCUUCUUUUUUGUUUUAUCUCCUCCUUUUAUUUUUUUAAUAUCUGCUUGUCUUGUACAAAGUGAGAUAGAGAAAGUAGAAAUUAGGGUUUCAAUCUCUAUAUUAUGACAAAUAUGAAUCGAUGGCGAUUGAUGGAUUUCGGAGAAACUAGGGUUGGAUUUUGGUAAAAAGGGUAUUUGUUCCUCUUCACUUCAAGCAAAUGCAAGAGAAGGGUGUUGUGAUUGAUAGAUUCUGAUGCUGUGAAGAACAUAGGAUUAAAAUUCAGAUUCCUGCUAAGGAUUCAUGGCGACAAAGAGACGAAGAACUGAAUAUUAGAUAGGGAUUUCUUCUGGUGAUUGAGUUACAAAGAUGGGUUCAAUUGAUUUUAAGGGUUUGAACUGAUUUUGAUUGAGCAACUGAUGAUGAUUUAGGGUCCAGAAGAUGGAUAUAUGCUCGAUUUGUGAGAAGAAGAAUUGUCAGUUUAUGUUUCCAAUUGGGUCAUUCUCAUACUUUGGUUAAAUCUUAAACCCUAGCUUCUAUUUCUUGAAAAAAAAUCUGAGAUUUUUUUGUUUAAUUGUGUGUAUUGGUUAUCUGUUGAUCCAACCCUUUAGCGGUGGGAGCAAAUAAGGCAAUGAGAUAGCAGGGGUGGCUACCUUUCGUUGACAGUGUUUAUCAGGUAUACUCAAGGUUACUUGGAUUUCAACCAAAUUAGUAUUGUUAAGCCUGUUAAGCCCCCCACAAUCAACAGGAGGAUCACUGUUGAAUUAUGAAUUAUAUAGUAAAGUAGUGAAUCUGUAACUGUUUAUGUCAUUAUAAUCCUGUGGUUCACUGACAUAGAAUACUUAAACAUCUUUAAGAGUUUCUUAAGUGGAUAUGCAGGGAAUCUCUUUGAGGAAUCUUUAGCAUUCAAUAGAUGUGGAGUUGGAUUGUUUAUGAUGGUUAGCUUAUGUAUUAUCAGAAUCAUCGGGGUUUGGUUCAAUAUAACUUCUUGAAAUAGCUUCUUAAAAUUUCUUGAUUCAAUGUAACUACUCAAUCUACGUGCUUAUCGUUUUCUAGUGGUGCUCACUUUUCUGGUAACAAAAUCAGUGAAACUGGUGCUGGAAAGCAUGUCCCAUGUGGGAAUACCGCUCUGGCUCUUGCAAUGUGUAGGACUUACAGAAGGCUCUGACUGAAGGUGACCUUUAAUGCUGCAUCACUCGCAUCGGAGGUUCAGAAUGCGAUCCCAGCAGGACUUGUUAGUUUUCCAAGAUGAGUAUCAUUACAGUACAAACUAAAAAGCAACUGUAGAAGGAUUUGUUGUAGAAUAUAUCAGGAAUUUGGGACUGAAAGUUAAGAUAGUUGCAUCUUUUGUUCAAAGUUGGUUCAUUGGUGAGACUGUUGUCUCAUUCAAAAUCUAUGUUGUUUGGGCCUUAAGUGGGACUAUUAAGUGGGACUCUUGUCUUACUCAAAAUCCUAACUGCGAGCGUGGGAAUACUUAUUUUGAGAGUGACAAAGGCAGUAACACAAUUUAAAUUUUAGUUGAUGAUCAUACAUGAACUCCUCUCACAUGGUUUUACUCUUGCAAACAGCUGAAAUGAGUUUCAUAGAGAGUGAAGAAGUAGAAGAUGGUGAGAAAUACAAGCUAGACAAAUAGACUGGAUUGAUCAAGGUAAUCUUCCUGGAUGUUUUCUCCGAGCUAAAGCCAUUGGUCUCAUGCCUAUGAUCGACCAGAUGCAGAUCAGUGUUGUUGGCGGGUUAAUGUUAAUACUUGUACUUAUACAAGGGAUAUGCAUAUCCAUGUUGGCUGGCCUCUAUAUCGAAUAUAUGGGCAUGCAUUUGAGGCAUUCAAGUUGAUUGUGGCUGAUCCUGAUACCAAUCCAAGCUUGCACUGAAGCUAUAGAUAGCCACAAGGAUAAAACUGGUAGUAAAGGAGGCACCAAGAGCAGUGAGUAUUAACCUUCUUGAAAUCAAUGAUAAAACCUAGUGCAACAUAUACUGUAAGAGCUAUGUAACAUGUGGUUGUGUAAACACUUUUAUCAUUUUAGUAAACAACUUGCCCAGCAUAGAAUGAAUGUAAAAGAGUGUUUAGGUACUUAUUAGAAUUUUUUUUUGUACUUGGAAGAAUUUGUAUUCUUUCUUAAUAGAACUGAAUGAAUGUGGAUGUAAAUUGAUUGAAGCGUUGAACAUGGAUGGAUUGAAAGGUUUGU